GACGAACGCUGGCGGCGUGCUUAACACAUGCAAGUCGAACGGAAAGGCCCUGCUUUUGUGGGGUGCUCGAGUGGCGAACGGGUGAGUAACACGUGAGUAACCUGCCCUUGACUUUGGGAUAACUUCAGGAAACUGGGGCUAAUACCGGAUAGGAGCUCCUGCUGCAUGGUGGGGGUUGGAAAGUUUCGGCGGUUGGGGAUGGACUCGCGGCUUAUCAGCUUGUUGGUGGGGUAGUGGCUUACCAAGGUUUUGACGGGUAGCCGGCCUGAGAGGGUGACCGGCCACAUGGGGACGGGGAUACGGCCCAGACUCCUACGGAGGGAAGCGGUGGGGAAUAUUGCACAAUGGGCGAAAGCCUGAGGCAGCAACGCCGCGUGCGGAAUGAGGGCCUUCGGGUUGUAAACCGCUUUCGCCUGUGACGAAGCGUAAGUGACGGAAAUGGGUAAAGAAGCACCGGCAAACUACGU
rnacentral:rRNA from 1 species